ensembl:lncRNA
UUUUUUUUUUUUUUUAACUUUUUUCAUUUUGUACCUUUAUUCGGCUACAUUCAAGAGGAAGCUCACUUUCGCAUAAAAUUUACAUAUUUACAUACACACACACACACAUGCAUACACACUCCCUCAGGUCUAUAUAUCACAUUUAACACUCUGACAGUAACAGUCUAUAACAUUUCAAUUCUACACACUCGGUGUGGAAAACUAGGAGUAGAUCGGUCCAUGUCUAAGAGAAAAAGGACACACACACACACACACACACACACUCACACACACACACAGACACACAUAGACACACACAUUCACACAAACACAUAUACACAGACAGACACACACACACACAGUGUUUCUUUUAUCAGUGUCACAAGAUAAGAGGAAGUGAACUCCUGGCUGUCCUUAUCCUGUGUGUGUGUGUGUGUGUGUAUGUGUGUGUGUGUGUGUGUGUGUGUGUGUGUGUGUGUGUGAGUGUGUGUGUGUAUGAGUGAGUGUGUGUGUGUGAGUGUGUGUGUGUGUAUGAGUGAGUGUGUGUGAGUGUGUGUGUGUGUGUGUAUGUGUGAGUGCGUGUGUGUGUGUGUGUGUGUGUGUAUGUGUGUGUAUGAGUGAGUGUGUGUGAGUGUGUGUGUAUGUGUGAGUGCGUGUGUGCGUGUGUGUGUGUGAGUGUGUGUGUGUAUGAGUGAGUGUGUGUGUGUGUGUGUGUAUAUGUGAGUGCGUGUGUGUGUGUGUGAGUGUGUGUGUGUGUGUGUGUGUGUGAGUGUGUGUGUGUGUGUGUAUGAGUGAGUGUGUGUGAGUGUGUGUGUAUAUGUGAGUGCGUGUGUGUGUGUGUGUGAGUGUGUGUGUGUGUGUGUGAGUGUGUGUGUGUGUGUGCAUGUGUGUGUGUGUCUCCACACGCCUCCAUGUUGUGACGAUUACACUGUUUAGUUGUUAAAGAGAGAACUUCACAUCGUACCUUUUAUCCCUUUACAGUUACAUGUAAUGUUCCGUUCUCGCUCACGGCGUGGCAGCGUAAACACUGGAGACUCCUUCCGUACACGUGUGUUUAGAUACACGUUUACGAAGAGCGUCCGCCGUACAGGUCUCUCUCUCCCUCUCUCUCUCCCUCUCUCUCUCUCUCUCUCCCUCUCUCCCUCUCUCUCUCUGGAAGCUCGGUUUAAUUAGAACCUUAUUUAUUUAUAUAAUUGAUGAACUUUGCGUUUUAGUAAUUACGGGAUUGUGGGCUGAUCCUCACGUCGAUAAGAGACACGUGGGAUCACGGAUCGAUCGUCUCGGGAAGGAGAGACACGCGCCGUUUGUUUCUCCCUCUCUCUCUCUCUCUUUUCUCUCUCGUCGUUGUCUCUCCGUUCGUCCUUCGGGAGGCUGGAUAUAUUAGAUAUAACCAAUUCAAUUUUAUGCACCGAGCUCACACACACUCACCCACACACACACACACCCUCAGGGACAUAAAUACACACAUUUUUAAUGCACUCUGCACCAGGAAAAGGGCCUCACACACUCAAUUAUUAAUGUAACGACCCGCCGACUUAAUUAAAUAAUAAAGACAGUGUGCUUCUGCGCUGGAAUGGAACGAGGAACGAGGAACGAGGCCGCCUCAUGUAUAUUAGAGAAGCCGGCAGAUACGCUCCUCGGCCAUGAUAAAAGGAAAGGGGGGGGGCGGGAGAUAAACAAAUAAAGAAUGCGGGAUGACCUCGAGUCGUUAUUUUCCCCGCGGAAGAGAUGAAUGAUGCGUUGAAUAAAUACAUGCAUGAGGCAGUAAACGGAUAUUAGCCUCCUGUGGGUUGUGCUCCGGGAAAAAAAAAGAGUAUUAGAGAAGCUGAGAGGGUGAAAGUGGCGAUAUAUUACCACUUCCUGCUUUAAAGAUCGGAUUUACACGCAACUUAAACACUGGAGUGCGCCGAUAAAAGUGAGCCGUUAUCGAACGCGGCUACACGGACAUCUCCGUAUCGUUUACGGGACAGAAAAAAGAGCUGAGAUUUAAAAUCCGACAGCUUGAUAGCGCUGUUUAUAAGAUCGGUCCGAUUUGCAUAUGCGUAUGCAUAUUCAUAACGUAAAGAAAAAACAACAACAACAACCGCAACAGCGACAACCGGCAUUGUUAAUCUGCGGACGUUUUUUCCCCCGGCUGCGUCUUCAAGACGUUGUUUGCAACAUUAUAAAUGAACUAACAACCUGGAUUAAAGGUGCAGUGAGUGAUUUUUAGCGCCCUCUGCUAAAGCGCCCGCUGAUUUUAAUUUCGAUGGAAACUUUAACAAGCCUUCGUCUUAUCCGUCAGCAGACUCCGCCCACUCUACAAACGCCUCGUUGUGGUUUCGUUUCUGAGGAAUGUUCUUUCUGGGCCAGAAAAAAUUCAACAGAAGUUUGAAAAGAAGAAAUCGUCAAGUUUUACCACACAGAAAUAACACCCGAACUGAAGUUUUGUCAAUUUUAUUCAAAUUAGGUAUGAAGCAGGUAGUAAAUCUGGAACAUUAAGAAGAAACUAAUUCCAGAUUAAAGGUGCAGUGCGGUAUGUGAGGUUUAGCGCCCUCUGCUGCUCGAGAUUGUAAUUCCAACAGACUUUCUCAUGAUAGUUGCUUUUAAGGAAUGUUCUUCCAGGAGGCGGAGCUCACUUCUAGGCCAAAAAAAAAAAAAAGUAAACAGAAACUAGCACAUUUUACUGCGUGGGUUAUAUUAUGUUUACGUAUGUUUACGGCUGUAGAGGUUGCGAAGUUUAACGGUACGAGGUUCGCUACACGCCCACAAGACAGGCUACAAGUCACUCGGCUCCUGCUAACGUGAACGGCGGACAGGCUAGCGCUGAACUUAUCAGAUCACUCCAGGUCUAGGAAACACUUUUAAAAACGACACACCGCACCUUUAAAGCAACCCGUGUCGUGUUUUUAAAUCGCAGGUUGCGGCUGCGAAGAAACAAAAGCCGGACGUGACGAACACGUUAAUAACGUCACGUUCAAGGGCACGACAUUGGCGUGUAAAGCAAUCUGCACGCGGACGCAAGCGUGUGAACAGGAUGUUCUGAUAAAUAUUCAGGAUAUUCCGUUACAUACGAAGAUUUCUCCCUCUCUCUCUCUCUCUCACACACACACACACACACACACACACCUAAAUGAUGGAUUCGUUGCAGUGUUAAUUUACAGAUAAAUAAAAAUUAAAGAUUAAAAAUUAACCGAGAAAAGGAAAAUAUAAAAUUUUAUUUUUAUAACUGAUGAAAUGAAGGGAAUAUUUGUGCUCUUCUCUCGGGUUUAUGAUUAUAUAUAUAUAUACACACAUUUUUUUCUUCUUCUCCUCUCCACUCCAUUUUAAAGCUCCGUAGCCUCCGGCCUUCAGCCGUACAGCCUUUUAACACUAAAGCAUGGAGAGCGAGGCCUGAAUUAUUGAUCCGUCCUCCAUCAGCACGGCGCUCACGUCCCAAAUCACAGCCAAGGCCGAACCCCGGUCCGCCUGCUGAAAUAAUUAAACAGACUCUCAUUAAGAGCCGAGAGGAGAGGAGAGAUUGUCUGGUGGGGGAGGAGGGAGGGGGAGUCACACUCGUUCUGAUGGGGGGAAGGGGGAGAUGAAUGAGUGUGUGUGUGUGCGUGUGCGUGUGUGUGUGUGUGAGGGAUAUCUCUCCCAUCAAAUCUCCCACAGAGGCUAAAAAUGACAGGUCUCAUCCAGCAGCGGUGAGGGAAUAAUAACAGAAUAUAACCACAGAGAGAGAGCGAGAGAGAGACAGAGAGAGACAGAGAGCGGAAACAGAAAGUGAGACAGAG